GGAGGGGCCGCACCCCCGUGUCCUAGCUGUGUUAUGAUUCCGCAGUGAAGACGUUGCAUGUUGUUUUCACUCGUGUACACUUGACCUGCACAUGCAAGAAAAGGGUGGAAUGUUUAAAACACCAUAAUCAGCUCAGGGUAUUGCAGACCUGAAAUAAGGUGGGAUGGGCAAGUGUGUCCUUCAGAGCAAAAGGGUACUGAAGUCCCUCUCGCUGCAGGGGGCGAGAGGUAUGUUGUGUGUGUGCGGAUGUGUGUGUGGGGCACGCUCGUGCAUGUGUGACUGUGCAUGUGUUCUAUUUAUCCACGUGGGAAGGACUGGGAACGUCAGCUUUUAUUUAUUAUUUUAGAAUGUGACAUAAUGAGCAGCCACACGUGGGGAGGGGAAGGGAGGUCAGCUGUUAACAGAUCGCUCCAGAUGCCUUAAACUAUGCACAAAGCUAAGUGACCAAACUUCUUGUUUUGAUUUGAAAAAAGUGCAUUGUUUUCUUGUCCCUCCCCCUUUGAUGAAACGUUACCCUUUGAUGGGCCUUUUGAUGUGAACAGAUGUUUUCUAGGACAAAAUCUAAGGACUAAUUUUAAACUUACAACAUUCCACUUUUGUAACGUGUUUUAAAAUGUCUUAUGUGUAGUAAGCACAACUGUAAUCUAGUUUUAAGAGAAACCGGUGCUUUCUUUUAGUUCAACUGUAUUUCCCUUGUUACUGUAAAGGACUGUUUAUUAAUUAUGUUUACAAGUUUGUUGCAACAGUCAUUUUCUUGGGAGAAAGCUUGAGUGUAAAGCCGUUUGUCAAAGGCUUUGCCAUACUCAUUUUAAUACGUGCCUGUUGCUGUUAACUUUUGAUGAAUAAAAACCUAUCUUUUCACAUUUUCUUCUUUGAUAUUUACCUCUAAAGUCCGUCCGUUGGAAACCAUAACGCUAAAUUACUAGGGAAGCAAAGACUUCGCUUCUCGGCUCCGGCGUUCGCCCGCCACGCGUUUGUCCAGGCAGAGCCGGGCGCAGGCAGCGUCCUGGGGGCUCGUGUGCUGCCUGCGCCUCACGGGUGAGCAAGCCGAGGCCGGGAUGUGGUGCGCGGAGUCCUAACAGCCAGGAGAAGUCGCCUCGGAGCCCAGCCUCCUGACUCCACAGCCCUUUGUUCCCACGGCGGGAACCUCAGGCCUUCGUGCAGCACGUCUCAGUUCGGACCAGCCACGUUUCAGGUGCCCGGUCGCCACAUGUGGCUUGUGGCCGCCACACCGGACAGCUGGGCGCGGAAGGAAGUCUGAAGGUGGUGGAGCCGAGGGCUACCUGGGGAAGGCAGACAUUCUCGGGAAGCCAAAGGCCGAUCAGCCGGUUGCUUGAGCGUGGAUUCUGAGCGAGGGAGGCAAGUCGCCUCACGCAUCCUGCAGGGACGUACCUGCUGAUACUCGUUCGUGGACCACGGCUCCCCUGAACGGGGCUACAGAUGCUCUGCCGGGAGCUGCUCCUCCACGCCUGCUCGACUGGCACAUCCAGCAGACACGUCAGACCCUCGGCCCUGCCGCAGCUGGGCCUGCCUGGGCUCAGUCUGCCGGCGUAUGAUUGGUUUCUUCUUCUCUGACCUGUUACGUGUUUCUCACUUUGGCUAUUCAGAGGAUUAUCUUCUUCUUGCCAUCCUCCAGGGGGAGACACCUGAGGGUUGCUCCCAUCUCCUCCCUACACAUAGAAUAAACCCACCGCAAAGAUAUGUUUUGUGACAUAUCUGUGGUAUUACCGUGCACAGCCCUGCUGCCUCAACGGGACCUAUAUUCUUUGAACAUCGGUUUUCUAGAAAAAUUUGAGGAAACAGUACAGCAAUUUAGAAGGUCACAUUUUAAGUAACUGUCUGUCAUCGUGAGCAAUUAUGUGGAAACGAGUCUGUCAGUGCCGAAGUCAUGUGGCCACAGUGUCCGAGUUCCUGUCGUGUGCAGAACUGCACUGGAUGUAAUAAAGGUAUUAAAACUAAAUACGGAGACGGGGUCUCUGUUCUCAAAAUGUUUGGGUGACAAAAUGACGUGUGGAAAGAAACACGUUAUGUAAUAUGGGAGGUUUCUAUAUUGCACAAAAUGAGUGUAAAGUGUUGGGGUAUUAUUGUUGAGAAUGAAUGAUUUUGUCGGGUUAAUGAUGAAAAUGACACCAUUUCCAGUAAUUAUUGAAUCUUACUAACAUCCGUGACUGGCAAAAUCAUUUAACUUUCAAAUCUGAUUCUAAAAUGUAAGUCUUAGAUGUUCACUGUGAUACUUUUAGUAAAAUACCAGUAACUUUUAUCAAUCAUGGUAACAUUUUUUUUUUUAACUUUUACAGCUACGCUAAGUUGUCCUGAACCUAUCCUGAAGUCUAGUAGAAUGGUCAGGGAAAGAGAAACACCCCCAUUUUUAAUAUUAGAUUCUUUUUAGCUGUAUUUUAAAACUGGAGCACAGUCACCUAUUGGUUUACUGCAACUUUCCACUGGUCCCAUCAAUAGUCUUGUUAAGAAAGUUCAUCUUAUAUUACAUUUAUGUGUAAGCUGUGCAUUGUUUGAGAUUUUUGAGCAUCAAUUUGAAGUGUUUCUUUACUGUCGAGCCGCAUCCUAUAAAGAAUCGGGAGGGAGGCUGCAUGGUAUCCCAAGGGGCUUUAUCUUUUGAAGAAAGUAUCGUAAAGGAAUGUGUUUAAAGUGCCCAGUUGCACAUUUGCAGAACACAGUUUCUGAAUUCCCAUCUAAGCAUCCUCACAAGAUAGGGGUUCCCUUUCCCAUUGUAGGGAAGAGUCUCGCUCAGACCACUGCAGGGCAGCGGGGGCUUUAUCUUGAGGAUUCGUGUCCACGGUGGUGAGACAAACCCUCCGAAGGCUGUGGAAGCAGACCCUGGGGUCUGAGU